rnacentral:siRNA from 1 species
ACAGACAUCGUGAUGGUAAUCUGC